UGACCUCAAAUCAGGUAGGACCUACCCCGCUGAACUUAACAUAUCAAGNGGNGCGGAGGA
rnacentral:rRNA from 1 species